UUCCUGGUGCUUAUGAUGUAAUGGAACCACUCCGAUCCAUCCCGAACUCGGUUGUUAAACGUUGCUAUGGCGAAGAUACUCGGCGGGUCACUGCCCGGUAAAAUAGCUCAGUGCCAGGUU
rnacentral:rRNA from 1 species